GAUGAACGCUGGCGGCGUGCUUAACACAUGCAAGUCGAACGAGCAGUGAAGACGGAAACCUUCGGGCGGAAGGCUUCAUAUCGAGUGGCAACCGGGUGAGUACCUCGUGGGUAACCUGCCACAUCCAGGGGGAUAACAGUUGGAAACGACUGAUAAUACCGCAUCAGACCACAGCACCGCAUGGUACGGGGGUAAAAACUCCGGUGGUAUGAGAUGGACCCGCGUUCGAUUAGCCAGUUGGAGGGGUAACGGAACACCACAGCGACGAUCGAACGCCGAUCUGAGAGGACGACCGGCCACAUUGGGACUGGGACAAGGACCAAACUCCCACGAGUGGGAGCAGGGGGGACGGUUGCACGAUGGGGGAGACCCUGAGGCCGCGGCGCCGUGUGAGUGAGGAAGUAUUUAGGUAUGUAAAGCUCUAUCAGCAGGGAAGAAAAUGACGGUACCUGAGUAAGAAGCCCCGGUUAACUCCGU
rnacentral:rRNA from 1 species